AUCCAACUGACGAGUUCCAAAUAGGACGAAAUGCGAGUCAAACUGGAU
rfam:Schistosoma mansoni, Puerto Rico, WGS project CABG01000000 data, contig: 0183